rnacentral:rRNA from 1 species
UUGCUUCUCUUGAGAGCGGCGGACGGGUGAGUAAUGCCUAGGAAUCUGCCUGGUAGUGGGGGAUAACGCUCGGAAACGGACGCUAAUACCGCAUACGUCCUACGGGAGAAAGCAGGGGACCUUCGGGCCUUGCGCUAUCAGAUGAGCCUAGGUCGGAUUAGCUAGUUGGUGAGGUAAUGGCUCACCAAGGCGACGAUCCGUAACUGGUCUGAGAGGAUGAUCAGUCACACUGGAACUGAGACACGGUCCAGACUCCUACGGGAGGCAGCAGUGGGGAAUAUUGGACAAUGGGCGAAAGCCUGAUCCAGCCAUGCCGCGUGUGUGAAGAAGGUCUUCGGAUUGUAAAGCACUUUAAGUUGGGAGGAAGGGCAUUAACCUAAUACGUUGGUGUCUUGACGUUACCGACAGAAUAAGCACCGGCUAACUCUGUGCCAGCAGCCGCGGUAAUACAGAGGGUGCAAGCGUUAAUCGGAAUUACUGGGCGUAAAGCGCGCGUAGGUGGUUUGUUAAGUUGGAUGUGAAAUCCC